rnacentral:rRNA from 1 species
CGCCUCUUGAUAAAAUAUAAAAGGUCCCGCCUGCCCAGUGAGAAUUCAACGGCCGCGGUACACUGACCGUGCAAAGGUAGCAUAAUCACUCGCCCCUUAAUUAGGGGCCUGUAUCAACGGCAUCACGAGGGUUAUUCUGUCUCCUUUUUCUAAUCAGUGAAACUGAUCUACCCGUGAAAAAGCGGGUAUUUAACUAUAAGACGAGAAGACCCCAUGGAGCUUCAAACCAAAAGCAAAUUAAAUUUAUAUAUCACCACAGCUAUUAUACCAUGCACAUUGGUUUUAGGUUGGGGCAACCGCGGAGAAAAAUUUAACCUCCACAACGAAAAGACCUUAGUCUUUAUCCCAGAGCCACCGCUCUAAGAACUAAAACACUAACAGAUAAUGAUCCAACUCUCUGUAGUUGAUCAACGGACCAAGUUACCCUGGGGAUAACAGCGCAAUCUACUUUGAGAGUUCUUAUUGACAAGUGGGUUUACGACCUCGAUGUUGGAUCAGGGUAUCCUAGUGGUGCAGCCGCUACUAAAGGUUCGUUUGUUCAACGAUUAAAACCCU